CAGUCGCCGCGGUAAUACGGAGGAUCCAAGCGUUAUCCGGAAUCAUUGGGUUUAAAGGGUCCGUAGGCGGUCUUGUAAGUCAGUGGUGAAAGCCCAUCGCUCAACGGUGGAACGGCCAUUGAUACUGCAGGACUUGAAUUAUUGGGAAGUAACUAGAAUAUGUAGUGUAGCGGUGAAAUGCUUAGAGAUUACAUGGAAUACCAAUUGCGAAGGCAGGUUACUACCAAUUGAUUGACGCUGAUGGACGAAAGCGUGGGUAGCGAACAGGAUUAGAUACCCCUGUAGUCCCUGUCUCUUAUAA
rnacentral:rRNA from 1 species